rnacentral:rRNA from 1 species
GUGUGUAACAACUCACCUGCCGAAUGGAUUAGCCCUGAAAAUGGAUGGCGCUGAAGCGGGCAGCCGACACUGUGCCGUCUGGGCAAAAUAUAAUUAUAAAAGUGGAUCCAGAUGAGUAGGAGGAAUGUGGCGUCGUAUUGAAGCGUGUGCGCAAGCAUGCGUGAAACGUCCGCUAGUACAGAUCUUGGUGGUAGUAGCAAAUAUUCAAAUGAGAACCUUGAAGGGCGAAGCGGGGAAGGGUUCCACGCGAACAUUGAUUGGGCGUGGGUGAGUCGUUCCUAAGCCGUGUGGUAAUGGGUAGAGAAACGGCGAAAGGGAAGCAGGUUGAUAUUCCUGCACACGGAUGUGGAUAUGCGGUGACGCACACUGGGGCGGUGAAGUCGUCGAUUGCACUGGGCAGAGAUUUCUUUUCUGUUUGACGGAGCCUGACUGUACGCUAUGGAAUCCGAUUGUCGGGAGAAAUAGGUAUGUCACGGCAAAGCGCCGGGUUUUUUUUCUGGCGUCCAGUUUGUGAUUGGCGGACCUUGAAAAACUGUCUGCUGGCAAAACACUCGUGUUUUGUGUGAAAAAUUCCACGCCGUAACGUACCGAUAACCGCAUCAGGUCCCCAAGGUGAACAGCCUCUGCUCGAUAUGAAAAAUGCAGGUGAGGGAAGUCGGCAAAUUGGACCCGUAACUUUGGGAAAAGGGUUGGCUCUAGUGCUGCGUAGGAGUGGUCACUGGUCGUAGCUGCGGAUUGUGGUGUUUUAUUUCGUUGUGAGGGCUUGCAGGCUGAAUUUCGGUUUGGCUUGCGCUUUUGCGAUGGAAUGAGGCGCCGCUUUUCGCGGUUCCUGGGGACGCCUACAGCAUGCAGCAAACUAGAACUGUAACGGACAAAGGGAAUCCGACUGUUUAAUUAAAACAAAGCAU